rnacentral:rRNA from 1 species
GAUGAACGCUGGCGGCGUGCCUAAUACAUGCAAGUCGAGCGAACAGACGAGGAGCUUGCUCCUCGGACGUUAGCGGCGGACGGGUGAGUAACACGUGGAUAACCUACCUAUAAUACUGGGAUAACUUCGGGAAACCGGAGCUAAUACCGGAGAAUAUAUUGAACCGCAUGGUUCAAUAGUGAAAUACGGUUUUGCGGUCUCUUAUAGAUGGAUCCGCGCCGCAUUAGAUAGUUGGUAAGGUAACGGCUUACCAAGGCGACGAUGCGUAGCCGACCUGAGAGAGUGAUAGGCCACACGGGAACUGAGACACGGUCCAGACUCCUACGGGAGGCAGCAGUAGGGAAUCUUACGCAAUGGGCGAAAGCAUGACGGAGCAACGCCGCGUGAGUGAUGACGGUCUUCGGAUCGUAAAACUCUGUUAUUAGGGAAGAACAAAUGUGUAAGUAAAUAUGCACGUCUUGACGGUAACUAAUAAGAAAGCCACGGCUAACUACGUG